CUAGGCUGGAUGAGUGCACGCAAGCCUGGAAGACAAGAUGGGCUCCAGAGGAGGCAAAGACAGAAGGUACAAUGGCCUCCCAGAAGGAAGAAGAACAAACCAGAGCGAGAGACAGUAGGUGUUUAAAUACUGUUGGGGACUAGGACAACUCCUGCUUGCUUGGGAUCCUCAUUCAGCUUCCAUGUGGAUGAUGCUACCUUCAGAAGAAGCAGGGGCAUCUUCCAAGGGGAAGGGAACAAUGUUCCAGAUGUUAAGUCACCACUUGUCAUCGCAGAUCGUCCAGCUGAAUUCACAAUACAACUCAGAGCCUGAAGAGGAAGCUCUCGUGCGAGACAGGGGUGGCCUGGCACCGUGACGGCUUUAAAACCCGGGCUCGUAAAAUAGGAUGGGAAAAUUCAUCUGCGAGUUUUACAGCCUACAA